CUGCUGCCAUCUCUGACCACACGGUUCUGGGGGCCGACAGAAAUGUGGCACCCCUCCCUUCAGAGAAGGCUUGCUCAUUAGCUUGUGUGGAGGAGUCCACAGUGGGGUAUGGGAGAAGGGACCGGAAGAAGCCUAGCUGUGGUGAAUGUCUGCAAGCAAGAAGGCCUAGGGCAGGGUCACCCGGGAGGCCUCCCCCAGGCGCCGGGCGAGCUGGUUGGCCUGCUGCACCAGCAGGGAGUUGCCUCCCGUUGGCUCACAUCUACCUGGCCUGUCCUGCACCGCAGUCAUGUGCUUACCUGUGGCUCCACCCGGGGACAAGAGGAGAAGAGACAGACAGAUUGAACAGCACAGAAGAAAGGUAUCCGAGGAUUGAAGCCGUGGGCAGCUCUCAGGACCGCCCUGCCCAGAGACUGGGCACACCCACCAUGUCGUUCUCGAACCACAGGAAGUAGGAGCAGCGGAAGUCCCCUUCCUGGAAUAGCAGCGUGGUGCAGCCCUUCUGCAGGUACCUGCGUGCCAGUCGGAUCAGAGCCCAGACCUGGGAGGGGGAGACUGCUUAGUACGACUUUCAGGCCGUGACCUCCGUACGGAAUGCACAGCAC
rnacentral:lncRNA from 1 species